AGGUCUUUGUACACAGCACAGACAAGGUUGGGUGAGCAGAGCUGAGAAGCCCCUUCAGCGCCGAGUGGAACAUGUAGACUUGUACCAUGGGCUCUGGCCAGGACUGCUGAACCAGAAGUGCUCAAAGACCAGGCAGGUUCCUCUAGUUCCGAGAAGGUGCUUCAAGCUCUAGGAGGCCAGAAUGAGAGAGGGGGCAUGGACAGACGGAUGAACAGUGGUACCCCCUUCAUCGGCUCCUCUGUGGAUUGGAGGUCCCCUUUUGGCCUGUGGAUCUUUUCAGACCAGACUGCUCAUAGAGGCUUUCCCUUCAUCCUCUGCCACGUGCUCAUCUUAGCCUGACUGCUGCUUCCUGAACCAACCCUAUGACUUCCAGACACUGAUUUUAUGCUUUUAAUACAUUGGACCUUAUUUUA